rnacentral:tmRNA from 1 species
GGGGCUGACAAGCUUCGACAGAAGUUCUUUGAAAAAUGAUUGCAAGUCCUGCUUCGUUGCUUAUGCAGGUAAAUCUCGGGUGACACUAUACAAAUGCCAACUCAUUUGUAGCAAAAGUAAAGAACGCUUUUAGCGCUCUUUCCUUUGCGCCAGCCUUAGCUUAAUUUAAGCUUGGGCGGUCAAACCACUGACACCGAUAGUUGGGGAGACCUAUCAUCUUCGGUUAGAUUAUCUACUGCCUCGUGACUUUAGACGAUCGAAAGUUAUUCACGAUCGCCGCUUUGAUAUUUUGUAAAUUUAAAGUCAAGGUGGUCAGACAAAUUAAAUUUACUAAACUUGUAGAUAUUAUUUUUCUAAACUUUUGGACGCGGGUGCAAUUCCCGCCAGCUCCAUUC